rnacentral:rRNA from 1 species
CGCUAGCGGCAGGCUUAACACAUGCAAGUCGAGGGGUAACAGGGUGCUUGCACCGCUGACGACCGGCGCACGGGUGCGUAACGCGUAUAGAACCUACCUUUUACAGGAGAAUACCCCAGAGAAAUUUGGAAUAAUGCUCCAUAGUAUUAUUGAAUGGCAUCAUUUGAUAAUUAAACAUUUAUGGGUAAAAGAUGGCUAUGCGUUCUAUUAGCUAGAUGGUAAGGUAACGGCUUACCAUGGCAACGAUCGAUAGGGGUCCUGAGAGGGAGAUCCCCCACACUGGUACUGAGACACGGACCAGACUCCUACGGGAGGCAGCAGUGAGGAAUAUUGGACAAUGGAGGCAACUCUGAUCCAGCCAUGCCGCGUGCAGGAAGACGGUCCUAUGGAUUGUAAACUGCUUUUAUACAGGAAGAAACACUCCCUCGUGAGGGAGCUUGACGGUACUGUAUGAAUAAGCACCCGGCUAACUCCCGUGCCAGCAGCCCGCGGUAAUACGGAGGGUGCAAGCGUUAUCCGGAAUCAUUGGGUUUAAAGGGUCCGUAGGCGGGCUAAUAAGUCAGGGGUGAAAUCCAACAGCUUAACUGUUGAAUUGCCUUUGAUACUGUUAGUCUUGAGUUAUAUGGAAGUAGAUAGAAUGUGUAGUGUAGCGGUGAAAUGCUUAGAGAUUACACAG